CCUACGGGAGGCAGCAGUGGGGAAUAUUGGACAAUGGGCGAAAGCCUGAUCCAGCAAUGCCGCGUGAGUGAUGAAGGCCUUAGGGUUGUAAAGCUCUUUUACCCGGGAUGAUAAUGACAGUACCGGGAGAAUAAGCCCCGGCUAAUUCCGUGCCAGCAGCCGCGGUAAU
rnacentral:rRNA from 1 species